rnacentral:rRNA from 1 species
AACGAACGCUGGCGGCAGGCUUAACACAUGCAAGUCGAACGGAUGUAGCAAUACAUUAGUGGCGCACGGGUGAGUAACGCGUGGGAACGUGCCCUUAGGUACGGAACAACAUCGGGAAACUGAUGCUAAUACCGUAUAAUAUCUUCGGAUCAAUGAUUUAUCGCCUAAGGAUCGGCCCGCGUUGGAUUAGGUAGUUGGUGAGGUAAAUGCUCACCAAGCCGACGAUCCAUAGCUGGGCUGAGAGGAUGAUCAACCACACUGGGACCGAGACACCGGCCAUGCUCCUACGGGAGGCAGCAGUGAGGAAUAUUGGACAAUGGAGGAAACUCUGAGCCAGCCAUGCCGCGUGAGUGAAGAAGGUCUUCGGAUUGUAAAGCCCUUUUACCCCUGACGAUAAUGACGGUAAGGGGAGAAAAAGCCACGGCUAACUUCGUGCCAGCCGCCGCGGUAA